rnacentral:rRNA from 1 species
AUUGAACGCUGGCGGCAUGCCUUACACAUGCAAGUCGAACGGCAGCACGGGUGCUUGCACCUGGUGGCGAGUGGCGAACGGGUGAGUAAUACAUCGGAACAUAUCCUGUAGUGGGGGAUAGCCCGGCGAAAGCCGGAUUAAUACCGCAUACGAUCUACGGAUGAAAGCGGGGGACCUUCGGUCCUCGCGCUAUAGGGUUGGCCGAUGGCUGAUUAGCUAGUUGGUGGGGUAAAGGCCUACCAAGGCGACGAUCGGUAGCUGGUCUGAGAGGACGACCAGCCACACUGAGACUGAGACACGGCCCAGACUCCUACGGGAGGCAGCAGUGGGGAAUUGUGGACAAUGGGCGAAAGCCUGAUCCAGCAAUGCCGCGUGUGUGAAGAAGGGCUUCGGGUUGUAAAGCACUUUUGUCCGGAAAGAAAUCCUUGGCCCUAAUACGGUCGGGGGAUGACGGUACCGGAAGAAUAAGCACCGGCUAACUACGUG